AAAAGCAAAAGAGACAAGAACCUUCAAACUCCCUUCAGAGACCUGCCACUCCUGGACAGGUCCGUGCCUCCGGGAGCCAAGUGAAUAUGUGACUGCUUCCCCUUCAUCUUCUACCACGAUUGCAAGUUUCUUGAGUCCUCCCCAGCCAUACUUUCUAUACAGCCUGCAGAACUGACCCAGUUCAACAUGGAUGAAGGUCUUUGAGGAUCCCAAGGGAAGAAAAUACAUAAGACCAAGGGGAAACCAUAUUAUUCCGUGGUAAAGCAUGCCUAUUUCAUUUUAAUUAUCUCUUUUAAAUAUUUUCAUAGAUAGUCAAUGAUCUAGAAUGGAGGAAGU